AAAAUAUACUAACAGGAGACCCGACAAGAAUGCUGAUCCAAUGUCUCCAAACACAGUGGUGAAAUAUUUAAGAUAAGUGCCAAGUUAGCAGCCAACACUGAUCUAAUGUCAUAAGUGAACACACCACAAACACAAAGUAAAAAAAAUGUACACAUUAUUUACAAUGACUGUACUUACAACACACCCUCUACACAAGAUUGUGCUGCUGGUCCCAAGUCCCUUUCAGCUGUAAAUCACUUACCAUCCUCUACUUGUAGGCUGGGUGUGUAUUCACACCUCUAGAUGGCCGGGCGGGGGUUUGUUGUGGAGCCAGAGAGAGCAGCAGUCACUCUAAGUGAGGGAUGGAGGACUUGAAGUCAGUAUUUACCACCCAAAAAAAUUGAUAAGUACUCAAGUCUAUUACUUAUUAUAUUGAACCUUUUAUUUUAGCAAUACAUCAACUAAACAACAUCUAUAAACAUAUUAUAUUGAGUGGAGAACACUGUGGUUUAGGUUGUGUACCAAUUAUUUUUGUAUUUUUUAUUAACCUUUAUUUAACUAGGCAAUUCAGUACAAAUUCUUAUUUACAAUGAUGCCAAACCCGGACAACGCUGGGCCAAUUGUGCGCCUCUCUAUGGGACUCCCAAUCACGGCCAGAUGUGAUGCAGCCUGGAUUCGAAUCAGACCCAGACAGCCCAGGAAAGUUGAGGGAGGGAGAGAGACUGUCUGGUUGCACACUGUUCCUGAAUGAAGAUGGGUGCUCUCCAGUGAAUUUAGACUUCCUUGUCAUAGAACAGACCUCAUAGAAUGGACCUCACAAAUUCACAACCAGACCUCACCAGUCAGGCCCCGCAAACCAGACUGAACAAAACUAUUACUGGACAUUACAAUCUAGACCUCAUUAUCUGGAUUUCACAAUCCUUACUUCUUCAUCUGGAUUUUGCAAUCCAGAUUUCACAGCUUGGUCUUUGUAAACCAAACCUCACAAUCCAUAACCUGGACCUCACAACCUGGACCUGCAGUGUUGAUGCUGUAACCCAGCCUCAACGCACCACUUCCUCAGGCAACAAAGCGGCAAACCUGCCCAGUCUCACCUGAGGACUGCCCAGUCUCAAACCUGCCCAGUCCUCCACGUCAUAUUUCAUUUUUUUUCACUUAUUGGCUUUUUGUUGCUUUUGUUUCUUGUUACGGUCAUUUACAUUUAUUUACAUUUUGGCCAGUUUGGCUUCCAGGCCAGUGUCCCCACCACACAACUCUGAUGCUUCCACAGCAUCAUACCAUGCCUCCAAAUGGCUACAGUAGUCACUAGUGUUACUUGAACUUUGUCUUCUGUUACAUGCUACUGGGUCCUUCCAUGUCCCUGUCCGCAACAAAUUGUGCUUCAUUCUAGUAGUUUGUAAAUAGGUUCUCUAGAGGAUCCUCUUAAAUAAUGUGGUACAUGAUAUAUAGACACACAAUGCCAAUAGUGUUGUGUCAUCUAUACAUCCAGUCAGGCAGGAAUAGUCCCAUAUCUGAGCUGUUGGUACUAAUACUGACACGGUAUAACUGUCUAGCUGUAACCCGUAAUGGCUUUCACAGAUCUAAUGGCAGAGCAACUCUAUGUUGCUGUGGAUUUCUAACAUUUCUAUUUUGUAACAACGGAAAGUUGUCACUGGUACAGCAUUGUUACCAAGUAUGUGGUUGGAGCAUAUCAUAUCAACUCUUAGGGCUACAUUGUAACAGUCUCUUCCGUAGAGGCACCUCUGUAAAGGCUUGGAAGCCAGUAAAGUUGCUUGCGACAUUUUCAUUUUAUUUUUGCAGAAAAACAUGGACUGUAAUAGGUUCACACAAAAAAAGGGCAUAUUUUCUGUCAUACUUGCUGCUGAUGACUUUGACAAACAAUCUCUGUAAAUUAUUGAAUAUAUAACGUCAAUUGUUUGUUUUAAAAGUCAAGAUUAUUUAACAUGGUUUAUAUUGGUACUUUUUUGCUUUUUGAACUGAAACAUGUCCAAUAUUUUUGUAUUCCUUAUUAAUGGGAAAUCUGCUUCUUACAUAUAAUCCUAUAUAUUCCUGUCCACCUCAUGGGUUUUUGCUCUUUUGUUGAACAUUUUGAAUGUUGUUAAGUGGAUUCUAGGUACUACCCAUGUUAAACAAGAACCCCACUCCUCCAAACACGCACCAGCACCAUCCCAAUGGGCCUGUUCCUGAGAGCGUUAUACUCCUGUUUCUCUGUAACACUAUAGGCUACAGCUGUGUUGCUCUGUAAUUCUGUAGGCUGCAAUUGUGUAUUUUUCUAACUGGAUUGGCUGCAGUUGGGUCUAUCUGUAAUCUAAUAGGUUGUGUUCCCUGCGGCCACCAAACUUCACCUGAAUGCUACUUACGUGCAUGGGCAUAUUCAGUACUGUGUAGUUCCGAAACACAAUGUAGAAAACAAAUUGUGCUCUAUUCCUCAUAAUGGGGAACAGCAAGACGAGAUGAAGCUCAAACCUCUCCACCAACCCUGUCUUCCACUGUAAAUAAUGUGUUGUAAGACAACAGAUGAUAGAAAUAAUAAAUGGAUGGGUUGGAACGACUGAAUAGGACGUCAAUGUGAACAACAUUUAUGAGUGAAUGUUAUAUAAGAACUAUCAACUGAACAAUUGAAGAAUUAAUUAAUUAAUAAACGGAUGAAUGGAUGUACAAAUUAGCGGAUGAGUAAAUAAACGCAUUAAAGAAUGACAGGGAUAGCAAGAGCAUCAAUAUACUGUAGCAUGGGGCUUUGCAUUCUCAUUUACCCCCGUGCCCAUUGUUAGGUUCUGACUGAGUGAAAACAACGGAAAACUACUCGAAGCUCAAACCAAGUUUAUUCACCCACUGGGUCAAACAGCUGAAAAGACAAAAACAUGUUUCUACCAGCACAAGUAUUUAUACCCUCCUAUUAGGCGGAGUCUCCUCUUUGCAGAUCUAGACAGCCAAUACAUCUCUGUUGCUAGGCAGGAACUUAGGUGGUGUGUGUUAAAAAAAAAAAUCCUUGGCAGUUCUAUUACCUCAGCCCACAUUCCUCACUCCUCCCUAAUGCAAGGCUAUCCAACCUUAUCAAUGACUGAAACUAGACUGUUACCCUUUGGCCCUCUCCAUAGAAUCAAUGAGAUUUAACAAUAGCAUAAAACAUGUAAAGUAGUUCUAGUAGUGUAUGAUGACAUGGUCUAAGAUGUUUCUACAACUUGAUUGGAGUCCGCUUGUGGUAAAUUCAAUUGAUUGGACAUGAUUUGGAAAGGCACACACCUGUCUAUAUAAGGUUCCACAGUUGACAGUGCAUGUCAGAGGAAAAAACCAAGCCAUGAGGUUGGAGGAAUUGUCCGUUGAGCUCUGAGACAGGAUUGUGUCGAGGCAAAGAUAUGGGGAAGGGUACCAAAUAUUUAUAAACUUGUAUUGUUAGAUUUAACAAUAACGUUAUACAUGUAAAGUAGUAGUAGUAUAGUAGGGUAAGAAACUCUCUGGAACCUCCGUAAUAAAGUAGAUAU
rnacentral:lncRNA from 1 species